rnacentral:tRNA from 1 species
GAAGGUAUAGCUCAGCUGUAAAGCGCAUGCUUAGCACACACAAAAUCCUGGGUUCAAUCCCCAGUACUGCCA